UCUUUGUUGGUCUAGUGGUCAUGAUUUCCGCUUGUCAUUCGGGUUCAUCCGAGUACAAGCGCGGGAGACCGGGGUUCGAUUCCCCGACAGAGAG